rnacentral:lncRNA from 1 species
GCGGUUGAAUCCUAUAGACCAAUAAGCUUGACAAAUACGGACUAUAAAGUUUACACUAAAGUACUAGUGAGACGAUUGCAAACUGUGAUAAAAGAACUUGUGGGCCCCCAUCAAACCUGCGGUAUCAAAGGGAGAUCAAUAUUUUCGAAUAUACAUACAGCAAGGGCCAUACUGGAAUGCUGCGAGGAGAGAGAG